CCGCCCGCGCGUCCCGCCGCGGCCCAGGCCCAAGCCCCUCGGCCGCCCGAGCGCAGCGCGUCGCGGGCCGGGAGGAGGCGGAGGAGCAGGACUAGGCGCCGCCUUCCCCGCGCCGCGCGCCCUCGCUGUUGUCUGCGCUCCGCUCUGGACCAGUUUGGGGAAGUUGCCCCGGCCCCGCGCCGCCCAAAUGUGCGACCUCAUUGAGCCGCAGCCGACUGAGAAGAUCGGCAAGAUGAAGAAGUUGCGGAGAACUUUGUCUGAGAGUUUCAGCCGCAUCGCUUUGAAGAAAGAAGACACUGCCUUUGAUGAGAUAUGUGUCACAAAGAUGUCUACACGGAACUGCCAGGGAAUGGAUUCAGUGAUCAAACACCUGGACACAAUUCCCGAGGAUAAAAAAGUCAGGGUUCAGAGGACACAGAGCAGUUUUGACCCAUUUGAGAAACCUACCAAUCAAGUAAAAAGGGUACAUUCUGAGAACAAUGCUUGCAUUAACUUUAAAUCCUCCUCUGCUGGCAAAGAGUCACCCAAAGUUAGGCGGCACUCCAGCCCCAGCUCGCCAACAAGUCCCAAAUUUGGAAAAGCUGACUCAUAUGAAAAACUGGAAAAACUGGGGGAAGGAUCGUAUGCUACAGUAUACAAAGGGAAAAGCAAAGUAAAUGGGAAGCUGGUGGCUUUGAAGGUGAUCAGGCUGCAGGAGGAAGAAGGCACACCUUUCACGGCCAUUAGGGAAGCUUCUCUGUUGAAAGGACUAAAGCAUGCAAACAUCGUGCUGCUUCAUGACAUCAUCCACACCAAAGAAACACUGACACUUGUCUUUGAAUAUGUGCACACUGAUUUAUGUCAGUACAUGGACAAGCACCCUGGGGGACUCCAUCCAGAUAAUGUGAAGUUGUUUUUAUUUCAGUUGCUGCGAGGGCUGUCUUACAUCCACCAGCGGUAUAUUCUGCACAGAGACCUGAAACCACAGAACCUUCUGAUCAGUGACACGGGGGAGUUAAAGCUGGCAGAUUUCGGUCUUGCAAGAGCAAAAUCUGUCCCUAGCCACACAUACUCCAAUGAAGUGGUUACCUUGUGGUACAGACCUCCAGAUGUCCUCCUGGGCUCCACAGAAUAUUCCACCUGCCUUGACAUGUGGGGAGUUGGCUGCAUAUUUGUUGAGAUGAUCCAAGGAGUUGCUGCUUUUCCAGGAAUGAAAGACAUUCAGGAUCAACUUGAACGAAUAUUUCUGGUUCUUGGAACACCAAAUGAGGACACAUGGCCUGGAGUUCAUUCUUUACCACAUUUUAAGCCAGAACGCUUUACCCUGUACAGCUCUAAAAACCUUAGACAAGCAUGGAAUAAGCUCAGCUAUGUGAAUCAUGCCGAGGAUCUGGCCUCCAAGCUUCUUCAGUGUUCCCCAAAGAACAGGCUAUCAGCACAGGCCGCCCUGAGCCAUGAGUAUUUCAGUGACCUGCCCCCGCGGCUAUGGGAGCUGACUGAUAUGUCUUCUAUUUUUACCAUCCCAAAUGUGAGAUUGCAACCAGAAGCUGGAGAGAGUAUGCGGGCUUUUGGGAAAAACAAUAGUUAUGGCAAAAGUCUAUCAAACAGCAAGCACUGAUGAGUACAGCAUUCUCAGGACAGCACAGAAAGACACCCAGAUGGCUGCUGGAAUCCACUGACUGGGCACCCAAAUAAGUUCAAUUUGGAAUACUAGUUUUAAAAGUCAGUCAGGAUUAAGUUGUCAUCAUUCUGGGAAGAAGAAGAAGAAGAAAAAAAAAAAUAUAUAUAUAAAAUACUUAACGAAGUGGCCAACAACGUGAGGGGCUCCUGGACCAGUUUCCUCCUGCUCCCUGCGGUGGAUUUCACUUACAAGAAAAUUGAAGCUGGCAAGACCCUGUUUUCUCUGCAAUUUAUUUAAAACCUUGCACGCAUUUGGAUACCUUGUGAUUUCCGAGAACUAUGUGAAGAUUAAGCUUUGCUUACUGAUACAUGGCAUGUAUUCUUUUCAGUCCUUUGUGUUUGAUUUUGUUUGAUUUCCCUCUGCAGCGCAGCAUCUCUGUAAAGGUUUUUAUGCUUUCACCAGCCAUGUCUUAAAUACAUUAAGACAACACAUUGGGUGUUCACACUUCUGCAGUAAUGUCUGUACUUGAAAGCCACACAGUGGCAUAAAACAAUGUGUGUUUUCUCUGAGAGCCCUGCGCUCUCCGCAGUCACCAGGAAGGACAUUUUUUUGCUAAAGCUAACCCCUGUUUUCUGACUGACUAGACAGCAUGGUCCCAGACAGUGGGGCCCCACCUGUGCCUCACCUUUUGAGGAUAUUUGAAAAUGUUGGUUCUUUCUCUUGGAAAUAACCAUGCAUUUGUAUAGGCUAUCGGGAUCUGCUUAGCAUUUUCAAGUCACAGAGCAUGACUGUUUCUGAGCAGGUUGGAAGUAAAGAAACAAGUACGAGCACUAAAAAGGGGAUGAAGGGCUGAUUUUUCAACCUCUAGAAAGUGAGGUAACUUUUUACAUUUGUUCUGGGUCUUGUCAACAUCUUAAUUUUCUUCCAUCUACUCUGUUAUAGUCUAUAUUUUCUAACUGGAGAAAAUAGUGAAGAACAUCAUUUUUAAAACUUGGGUGCAAAAAUUCAUGUCUGGAUGGGCCCUUAAGCAGUCUUGUCUGAUUAGUGCUUAAAAAGAAAAUUAGAAACUUACCCAGAAUUUUGUUUACUCAGUUACAACAAAGCAUCUUUGAAUUAGAUUGUUCAAAAACAUUCCAAGCUGUUUGGGUACCUGACUUGAAACCAGUCUCCUGUAAUAAUGUUCAAAUGCAAACUUUACAAGCAAUGCAGACAUCUUGCUUUGAAGACAGAAAUGGAAAAGAAAGGCCCCAGUUCCCUUGUUUUAAGGAGUCUGGGGACCUUGGAGGAUGAAGGUAGUUCUGUGUCACUGGGAGAAAGGGCAUGCUGCCAUGUAUUGUGCCUGAAUCUGGGGACCGUUGCCCAGUGCACGUGGCUCCUAUAGGGCAACCUCGAUGCAGAAUCCUAGAAAUGCUGAGGCCAAGGGGGCAGUUAGGAAACUUCAUGUAGAGCAUGCCCUUUGCUCCUCUAGACACAAAUCCCUAUGGAAAUGCCUCUGUGCCUGUUGUUUUAUGUUUUACUCCUUAUCAAAAAGAAGGAGCCAGCUACAAGCUUGAAAUGUGUCACACAUUUUUCGGAUCAAGACUAGGAAUUAUGAUCCAGUUUGACAAGGGCUUUUGGGAUGUCAGGUGAAGGAAAAGCUUUUUUGUAGUCAAACCCAAUAUACCCAAGGAAGUGGAGUCAGGUUUUCUAAGUUUUAGCGUGGUGCUGUCUGGCAUGAUGGGCAUUGCCCAUCCUACCCAGUUGGGGUAUUCAUUGCAAUCUCACAGAUGCUGAGCAAGGAAUCACUCAUUGAUUUUAAAGGAAACAAAAGACACCCAAGGUGAGAAUGUUUACCAUUUGCUACUUGGAAAUCGUUUUUCAUUCCUCUUUUAUGCAUUCCUUCCACGGGAAACUUUUAGAGGCAUUUUGCUUUAAAGUAUACUUAAAUUGAGAUUUCUUAAAUGGGGAAAAACUUUACCUGUAAUUUGAAAUGGCCUUUCCUGUGUAAGAUGCUUAGAAUCUUUUGUGUUUGUAUUUCACUUAGUUUACUUCAAGAGCUUGAUGCUAAUGUUGAAAGGUUUCAAGUCGGAAUUUGAGGGUCACUAGAGAGCCCUGCUCUGUUAUAGACAGCUUCUCCUGGGAAGUAGGACAUUACAACAAAGGAAAGUCAAAAUCAAUCUCUCUCUUUCUCUCUCUCUCUCUCUCUCUCUCUCUCUCUCUCUCUCUCCCUCCCUCCCUCCCUCUCUCUCUCCCUCUCUCUCCUCCCCCCUUCCUUCUCCCUCCCUCGUUCCCUCCCUCCUCCCUGCUCUGCCUUUCUCUCCUGCCCUCUGAAGGCAUCAUGAAAAUCAGUACAGACUAUGUUCAUUAACAUGUUGUUAUACUAUUGAGAAGGCACUGGAAUGUGGUCAGACUAUUUUUAUGUGAAAGAUAGCUUGAGUUUGGACAGCUGGUGAGAAGAGCAUGGACCCCAUUGGAUGGUAAUGGCAUUACCAGGCCCUCACUACACACAGUAUUCAGAAAGGAAGCAUGGGACUUAGUUUCCAUUUUCUUAAAGGCAACAGUUGAAUUGAUUUAGAAAUACAAGAUAUAUAGGACAUGAAAAAACAUUUGCUGUACUCAGCAAAAUAGAGGCAUAAGGCAGGGCAGCUGUCUCCCCACCAUGCAAGGGUGAGGAGCUGUUCCUAGCUGCCAAGAGUGACUAAAAAAGUUUCCAAGGGAGCCUUCAAGCAUAUAGAGAAAGCAAGGCCUCUUAGUACCCUUUCCCCAGUGUGUAUAUGACAGCCAGUGUAAUCAGCACCCUAUGUAUGCGUCCAUAUCAGAUACUCAUGCGAAUAUUACCGGGUUUGUAAUCUUUGUUAUAUAAGAGGAUGUUUAGGCUGUACAUACUGGGGUAGAUCAUUGCCUGCCCCCUAAACAUAGGAAUAUGCUGCAUAACUGCAUAUGACUUCUGUCUCCUUUCCUGGCUUUUGGACAGAGGAAGCUGUAUAUGCCUUGCAGUUUCCUCAUAUACCAAACUAAAAACUUUAAAAAUCUCAAAAAAAUGAGCAGUUUCCUAUUCUCAUUCCCCCUCUCACAGCAGCAUAUGUUAGAAGCACAUACAAAAUCUACCUAUUUGUUUGGGAGUGGACUUAAAAUUUUUUCUUGCCUCUUUUUAAAUUUUUGUUUGUAUGAUGCACUGAGAUGUGUACUUUCUAAUGGGGUUAGUACCUAUGAAAGUGCUAACCUCAUUCAGACACUCAUUAUGCUUCAAAAUGACAGAUAGUGAGGCGAUUGGAAUACUCCAUGUUGCAUAUUUGUUACCAAUUGUAAUUUGUCUAUAUUAUGAAGGAUGUAAUGGUUUGUCAACUGUCAUUGUUGUUUUCUGUACCAUGGUAUGGAAUAAAGUAUAGCAGAAUCUCCA